UCAAGCGCGAAAGGGCGCACGGUGGAUGCCUUGGCACCGCAAGGCGAAGAAGGACGUGGUAAGCUGCGAAAAGCUUGGGGGAGUGGCAAACACACAUCGAUCCCAAGAUGUCCGAAUGGAGCAAUCCGUCGGGGGCAACGCCCCGACACUUCCGGUUGAAUGAAAUAGGCCGGGAGGGCGAAACGCAGGGAAGUGAAACAUCUCAGUACCUGCAGGAAAAGAAAACAACAGUGAUGGCGCAAGUAGCGGCGAGCGAACGCGCCCGACGCCCAAACCGGGGAGCUUGCUCCCCGGGGUUGCGGGACCGCGACACGGCAAGAGUUUUCGUCAGGAGAACGGCUUGGAAAAGCCGGCCGAAGAGGGUGAAAGCCCCGUAUCCGAAGGCGAAGCGAAGCCCAGCGGGAUCCCAAGUAGGACGGAACACGUGAAACUCCGUCCGAAUCCGGGGGGCCCAUCCCCCAAGGCUGAACACUAGGCGGUGACCGAUAGCGAACAAGUACCGCGAGGGAAAGGCGAAAAGAACCCCUGUCAGGGGAGUGAAACAGACCUGAAACCGUGUGCCUACAAGGUGUUGUGGCCCUUCGGGGUUGCAGCAUGCCUUUUGCAUAAUGAGUCCGCGAGUCAUCACGUCCGGCGUGGCUAAGGGCAUCACCCGGAGCCGCAGCGAAAGCGAGUCCGAAACGGGCGCCUUCGUCGGACGUGGUGGACCAGAAGCCAGGCGAGCUAUCCUCGGGCAGGCUGAAGCCCCGGUAACACGGAGUGGAGGGCCGAACCGGUCGGUGCUGAAAAACCGUCGGAUGACCUGAGGAUUGGAGCGAAAGACUUAUCAAGCUUGGUGAUAGCUGGUUCUCCCCGAAAUAACUUUAGGGUUAGCCCCCGGCGGUCCCCAUCGAAGGUAGAGCACUGUUUGACCGAAGGCCUCUAGCGAGGUACCGACGUCUGGCAAACUCCGAAUGUCGAUGGCCAAGAGCCGGGGAGAUAGACGGCGAGAGAUAAGUUCCGUCGUCAAAAGGGAAACAGCCCAGACUCCCAGCCAAGGCCCCCAAACCGUGCUCAGUCACGAAGGAUGUGGGGUCUCGAUGACAGCCAGGAUGUUGGCUUAGAGGCAGCCAUCAUUUAAACAUUGCGUAACAGCUGACUGGUCGAGAGACCCCGCGCCGAAAAUGAUCGGGAGUAAGCGCGGUGCCGAAGCUGAAGGAUCGUCCGCAAGGGCGGUCGGUAGGGGAGCGUUGCAUGCGGCUCGAAGCGGGGGCGUAAGCCUCCGUGGACUGCAUGCAAGCGAUUAUGCGGACAUGAGUAACGAAAAGCCGGGUGAGAAUCCCGGCCGCCGGAAUUCCAAGGUUUCCCGGGGCAGGUUCGUCCGCCCGGGGUCAGCCGGAUCCUAAGGCAAGGCCGAAAGGCGUAGUCGAUGGACAUGGGGUCAACAUUCCCCAGCCGGGCAAGCUUCGAAAGGGUUCGCGGAAGAAGGUUCUGCAGGGGUCAUCGGAUUCCCCGCGGGAGGGUUCGCCCUCCUGCGCGCAGCGCCUUCACGCCGCCGAGAAAAGCCCCGUAGUUACGGCUUGCUCGUCCGUACCAAAACCGACACAGGUGGAAUGGUAAGCGAAUACCAAGGCGCGCGAGUGAAACCUCGUUAAGGAACUCGGCACACUGGCCCCGUAACUUCGGAAGAAGGGGUCCCGGGACUCGAUCCCGGGCGCAGUGAAAGAGCCGUGGCGACUGUUUAACAAAAACAAAGCACUCUGCCAACCCGCAAGGGGACGUAUAGAGUGUGACACGUGACCAAUGCGGAAAGGUCAAGGCGAGGGGUCAGCCGCAAGGCGAAGCUCCGAACCAAAGCCCCCGUGAAUGUCGGCCGUAACUAUAACGGUCCUAAGGUAGCGAAAUUCCUUGUCGGGCAAGUUCCGACCUGCACGAAUCGUGUAACGAUCGCGGCGCUGUCUCAACGAGGAUCUCGGUGAAGUUGUAAUGCCGGUGAAAAUGCCGGAUACCCGCAGAAGGACGGAAAGACCCCAUGAACCUUUACUGUAGUCUGGUACUGGAUUCUGGUCGAUUGUAUGUAGAAUAGCCGGGAGGCUUCGAAGCGGACGCGUCAGCGCCCGUGGAGCCGCAACGUGAAAUACCGGUUUCAGUCGGGCGGAAUUCUAACCUUGGGCCGUGAUCCGGCCAGGGGACAAUGCCAGAGGGUCAGUUUGACUGGGGCGGUUUCCUCCCAAACAGUAACGGAGGAGUUCGAAGGUCACCUCGGCGCGGUCGGCAACCGCGCGAUGGAGCGCAAAGGCACAAGGUGGCUUAACUGCGAGACAGACAGGUCGAGCAGAUGCGAAAGCAGGACUUAGUGAUCCGGCGGUCGAUCGUGGUAUCGCCGCCGCUCAACGGAUAAAAGGUACUCUGGGGAUAACAGGCUGAUGAUUGCCGAGAGUCCAUAUCGACGCAAUCGUUUGGCACCUCGAUGUC
rnacentral:rRNA from 1 species